ACUACGGGCGGCUGCAGUGAGGAAUAUUGGUCAAUGGGCGCGAGCCUGAACCAGCCAAGUAGCGUGAAGGAUGACUGCCCUACGGGUUGUAAACUUCUUUUAUAAAGGAAUAAAGUGAGGCACGUGUGCCUUUUUGUAUGUACGUUAUGAAUAAGGAUCGGCUAACUCCGUGCCAGCAGCCGCGGUAAUACGGAGGAUCCGAGCGUUAUCCGGAUUUAUUGGGGUUAAAGGGAGCGUCGAGGGGUUGUUAAGUCAGUUGUGAAAGUUUGCGGCUCAACCGUAAAAUUGCAGGUGAAACUUGCAGUCUUGCGUACAGUCGCGGUGGUCGGAAUUCGUGGUGUAGCGGUGACCUGCUUAGCUAUCACG
rnacentral:rRNA from 1 species